rnacentral:lncRNA from 1 species
GCAAAUAUUUGAGCUUAAGAUAAGAACCUCUCUCAUCUCAGUAGUGAAAGGGUCAGGAUGGGAAUAAAAAGGCAUGGGGACCAGCAGCCACCAAAAUGAGAUCUGGAAGAUGUCUUUCUCCAUCCAGGGGUAGAUUCCUUUGUGGCUCCAGUCAUGUCCAGUUCUUUGUGACCCCGUGACUGCAGCACGCCAGGCUUCCCUGUCCUUUACCAUCGCCCGCAGUCCACUGAAACUCACGUCCA